UUUUUUUUCCUAAAGUAACCCCACAUUUGAUUAACCCAUCCAAUGGUUGAAUAAGAGAAUAAGAAAAGAAGUACGAAAAAAUAAUAUGUAACUUUCCGGUGCCUCUUCAUUCAAUCGAGACUCACAAGGAUUCAACCCAUAGGCAUGCCUUUGUUAAGGUUCUUGCAUCAGCUAUGGCAAGCCUCAAAACUUCUGCCUCACCUUGCUUCAUGCCUUAGUGCACCUAAUGCACCUUCAAUAACACCAGUUGCCCCCAUGUGUAGGCAUCUCUGACCACUUGAAUUAUAGUGGCUAUUUUCCAUGCAGAACAUCAAGGGAAGAAAACCAGGACAACCAACAAAAUUGCUGUUCAAUAUGGCCUUCCAAAUAACAAAACGUAUCAGAUUAAUGAGUCUAUGACUAAGUGCCAAUUGCAGAGAUGCCACUUAACUUGCAUCCACAUGUUGCCACCAGCAUCUGUACUAAAAUGGUUGAACAGGCCUUACAGUCCGUAAAUCAAAGAAUUGAUGGGUCGAUCAGAUCAAGUUAUCACUCAAUAAUUGACAAAAAUAAUUUGGCUUGCCAGCACUAUGCAAGACUAUAAUAUUCAGUAAUUAUCAAUACAAGCAAUACAUAUGGGUCGGAGCAAGGUCCAGGAAGCAAAUUGCUUGUUCACUGGGGGCACACUGCUCCUCAUUGAUCUGUCAUAUACCAUGUUUGGCAUCAAAACUGAAAUGAACCAAGAAAACUGUCACAGAAAAGAACUGCCUGGCUUGGUAAGUCGAUGGGUGGCUCAAUUCUGAUGCAAUAAAGUUGCAAGCUAAGAUCUCCUUUUGAAAUCCAAGGAUGUCAAAAUAAUGGAGGGGGAGUUAGAGACACUCUUCUAUUCCUAAGCUAUUUUCCUGGCAUUCAUUAGUUGUCUUUCUUGUUUUUUUCCUUUUUGAUAUAUGCUAUCAUCACUUCUUGGUAAUGGUAUGGAUCCUUACCGGUCCGAGAAGGGAAUGGUAUGGAUCCAUUAGAUAUAAAACCCUACACCUAUUCUCAUUUUAUAUAACAGUUCUUUUAGAAAGAACAAAUUGAUUUAUAUAUCUGUAAUAUUUAAAUUCCAUUUGAAUUAAAUCAAGAAUAAAAGGCAAAUAAAUUCCUAAUCCCAGCAAGCUUUGAU
rnacentral:lncRNA from 1 species